CAACGCACAAAGCACAAGACCGGUUUUAAUGCUCGGCAUUGGCGUGUGACUCGUUGAGCUUCUCUGUGGCGCUUCCGAAGGCAUACUAGACUAACCUAACCAAGGCAUUGCUCAAGUAUAUUCGCAGGAGAACGCUUGAAUGCGCACAAGUAACUGAUGUACGUUAGCAGUCAGGACAUGAAGGUUUUCGUUAUAUUUUUAUGCGCCUGUCUCACGAGUGCACUGCAAUACCGGGAAGCUAACCCGGGCGACCGCUACUGUCCUCAAGAGUUUUGGAAGUGCCACGAAUACUGCCUGGCCCAGUCGCCAAGCAGUCCGCUUAAAGCAAUGGACGGUAACUGUGGAGGGAGGUAUUCCCAGGACUGUAACUGCUACGAAUACACCCCAGGCUACCCGGAGUGGAUCCCUCCGGAGAUACCAGAUUGAGAGUGUCAGUUGCAAUAAAUGGUUCGAUGCACUGUA